CAAUGGAAAGAAAGAAAAGGAAAGAAGAAGAAGAAUCAUACAACAAUUUUUUCCCCUUACCUCCCAAUUUUGCUUUGUUUUUUUUUGUUGAUGUAUUUUUAUUCGCAUGUAUGUAAAUA
rnacentral:ribozyme from 1 species